rnacentral:rRNA from 1 species
GAUGAACGCUGGCGGCGUGCCUAAUACAUGCAAGUCGAGCGGAAAGACGAGGAUCUUGCUGGUUUGACGUUUGGGGCGGGGGGGUGAGUAACAUGUGUAUAAUCCACCUGUAAGACGGGUAAAAUCUCGGGAAACCGGCGCAUACACCGUAUAAUCUACUGAAGCGCAGGGUUGGAUAGUGAAAGACGGUGUUGCUGUCACUUAUAGCUGCUUCCGCGCGGGAUUAGCUAGUUGGUGAGGUAACGGCUUACCAAGGCAACGAGGCGUAAACGAGCGCAGAGGCUGGUCGGCCGCCCUGGAACUGAGCCGCGGUCCAGGCUACUACGGGAGGCAGCAGUAGCGAACCGUCCGCAGUAGGCGGAAGCCUGACGGAGCAGCGCCGCGUGUGUGGUGAAGGCCUUCGGUUCGUGAAACUCUGUUAUGAGGGAAGAACAGAUGUGUAAGUAAAUGUGCACGUAUUGACGGUACCUGGUCAAGAAGCACCGGCUAACUACGUG